CGAACGCUGGCGGCGUGCUUAACACAUGCAAGUCGAACGCGAAAGGGACUUCGGUCCUGAGUAAAGUGGCGCACGGGUGAGUAACGCGUAGAUAACCUGUCUUAUGUCUGGAAUAAUAACGCCGAAAGGGGUACUAAUACCGGAUAUUUUUGCAUUGCAUAAGCAGUGUAAGCAAAGGUGGCCUCUGACAUAAGCUACUGCAUAAAGAGGGGUCUGCGUACCAUUAGCUAGUAGGUGGGGUAAAGGCCUACCUAGGCUACGAUGGUUAGCGGGUCUGAGAGGAUGAUCCGCCACACUGGCACUGGAACACGGGCCAGACUCCUACGGGAGGCAGCAGUGAGGAAUAUUGCGCAAUGGGGGCAACCCUGACGCAGCGACGCCGCGUGAGUGAGGAAGGCCUUCGGGUCGUAAAGCUCUGUCAAAGGGAAAGAAGUGCAUGGUGGUUAAUACCUGCCAUGUUUGACGGUACCCUUAAAGGAAGCACCGGCUAACUCCGUGCCAGCAGCCGC
rnacentral:rRNA from 1 species